GAUGAACGCUAGCUACAGGCUUAACACAUGCAAGUCGUGGGGCAGCAUGAAGGAAGCUUGCUUCCUUUGAUGGCGACCGGCGCACGGGUGAGUAACGCGUAUCCAACCUGCCCAUGGGUCAGGGAUAAACUCCCGAAAGGGAGCCUAAUACCUGAUGUUGUGAGAAGAAGGCCUCUGAUUUUCACGAAAGACUUCGGUCGCCGAUGGAUGGGGAUGCGUACGAUUAGGUAGACGGCGGGGUAACGGCCCACCGUGCCAUCGAUCCUUAGGGGUUCUGAGAGGAAGGUCCCCCACACUGGUACUGAGACACGGACCAGACUCC
rnacentral:rRNA from 1 species